rnacentral:sRNA from 1 species
AUAAAAAUGAAGAUAUAAACACUAUUCCGAAUAAAUC